UACGUAGGGUGCAAGCGUUGUCCGGAAUUAUUGGGCGUAAAGAGCUCGUAGGCGGUUUGUUGCGUCGGCUGUGAAAUCCCGAGGCUCAACCUCGGGUCUGCAGUCGAUACGAGCAAACUAGAGUGUUGCAGGGGAGACUGGAAUUCCUGGUGUAGCGGUGAAAUGCGCAGAUAUCAGGAGGAACACCGGUGGCGAAGGCGGGACUCUGGGCCGAUACUGACGCUGAGGAGCGAAAGCGUGGGGAGCAAACAGG
rnacentral:rRNA from 1 species